GCAUGGGUGCCCUCUCACGAUGUCCAAUAACUGAUUGUGCAACUCUCAACAUUUGCAUCCAACUUUGAAAAAACAACCUUAACAUGACGACGCGCGCAAAUUUCUAUAGACCUACUUAGGCAUGAUAGCACUGAGGCGAAACGCAACGGCAGUCACUCAUGAAGACCUCAUGGAGGCGAUUAACGAAGUACAAGCCAAGAAGAAGGCCAAUCUCAAUUACUAUGCUUAAAUCACUUGCGAGAGUAAACAAAAGCAUGUUCGCAAAUCAUAUUCAGACAAUUAAUAAUUGCUAGACAAGGAUAUUGUGUAAACGUAUAUUUGUAUCUUCAGGAAUAAACAACAUUCUUUGGACAAA